rnacentral:rRNA from 1 species
UACGGAGGGGGCUAGCGUUGUUCGGAAUUACUGGGCGUAAAGCGCACGUAGGCGGACCAGUUAGUUGGGGGUGAAAUCCCGGGGUUCAACCCCGGAACUGCCUCCAAAACUGCUGGUCUGGAGGUCGAGAGAGGUGAGUGGAAUUCCGAGUGUAGAGGUGAAAUUCGUAGAUAUUCGCAAGAACACCAGUGGCGAAGGCGGCUCACUGGCCCGAUACUGACGCUGAGGCACGAAAGCGUGGGGAGCAAACAGG